rnacentral:rRNA from 1 species
UACGUAGGGUGCAAGCGUUGUCCGGAAUUAUUGGGCGUAAAGAGCUCGUAGGCGGUCUGUCACGUCGGCUGUGAAAUCCCGAGGCUCAACCUCGGGUCUGCAGUCGAUACGGGCAAACUAGAGUAUUGCAGGGGAGACUGGAAUUCCUGGUGUAGCGGUGAAAUGCGCAGAUAUCGGGAGGAACACCGGUGGCGAAGGCGGGUCUCUGGGCAAUAACUGACGCUGAGGAGCGAAAGCGUGGGGAGCGAACAGG